UACGUAGGGUGCGAGCGUUGUCCGGAAUUAUUGGGCGUAAAGAGCUCGUAGGCGGUGUGUUACGUCGGCCGUGAAAACCUGCAGCUUAACUGUGGGCGUGCGGUCGAUACGGGCAUCACUGGAGUUCGGCAGGGGAGACUGGAAUUCCUGGUGUAGCGGUGAAAUGCGCAGAUAUCAGGAGGAACACCGAUGGCGAAGGCAGGUCUCUGGGCAUUAACUGACGCUGAGGAGCGAAAGCAUGGGGAGCGAACAGG
rnacentral:rRNA from 1 species